CGGGAGGCAGGGUGACCUGCGCCCCCGCCGAGUAACUACGCUCACCCUGCCCCUCUGGUCUCCAAUGAGCGAUCCCUCCCCUUCGGUCACCUGGGUGAAAUUUCAUAUUUGGCUUUCCUACAGUACUGACCGUAACCUAAUUUCCAAGAUUUUUAUAAAGGUAGACUCAAAAGGACUAUACUUUCAGCCAGUAGUCUAGAGCUAAAGGGGUAUAUCAAGUAACUUAGAAGAAGACUGUCUACUGACAAGUCAGCUGUCA
rnacentral:lncRNA from 1 species